rnacentral:rRNA from 1 species
GAUGAACGCUGGCGGCGUGCCUAAUACAUGCAAGUCGAGCGAACAGACGAGGAGCUUGCUCCUCUGACGUUAGCGGCGGACGGGUGAGUAACACGUGGAUAACCUACCUAUAAGACUGGGAUAACUUCGGGAAACCGGUGCUAAUACCGGAUAAUAUAUUGAACCGCAUGGUUCAAUAGUGAAAGACGGUUUUGCUGUCACUUAUAGAUGGAUCCGCGCCGCAUUAGCUAGUUGGUAAGGUAACGGCUUACCAAGGCAACGAUGCGUAGCCGACCUGAGAGGGUGAUCGGCCACACUGGAACUGAGACACGGUCCAGACUCCUACGGGAGGCAGCAGUAGGGAAUCUUCCGCAAUGGGCGAAAGCUUGACGGAGCAACGCCGCGUGAGUGAUGAAGGUCUUCGGAUCGUAAAACUCUGUUAUUAGGGAAGAACAAAUGUGUAAGUAACUAUGCACGUCUUGACGGUACCUAAUCAGAAAGCCACGGCUAACUACGUG